CGUUGGGUUAACAGCAGGCACCUCUUGGCUGGAGCGCCAUGUACACUUGUAAAAAAAAUGAUGUUUGUUUUUGUCUCCAGGUUUGGUUUCAAAGAAGAGCUCUACCCCAAAAAGUUUAUGGGCAAACAAGUGGACUCUGUCUUCAAAAUCAACACAGUGGUGAUGCAACAUAGAAAGUCUGAUUCUGCAUGUUGACAUUACAUUAGAAAUAUCCACUCAGCUAAAUGAAGCCGCGUUCUUGUGUAAAUGGGGUCAGUGUCUGCUCUCACCCAGAUGUCUACAAAGAACUGGAGCACCUCUGAGGUGAUGCAGAUGGCUGACCUAAUGCACUGUUGAGAGCAGACGGCUGAGACAGAAAACACCAGACUGCCAAGCUUCUAAGUGACCCCUCCCCUCUAAGGAGAGGGAAGGGUGGACCCAAACCAUGCCAGCAAAAUG